AGGAUUGCUGUUGUUUACCCCAAGACCAGCUUUGCCCUCAUGCCUCAAGUAAUAGAGCCCCUAAGUCUUGGCCAGGCACAACUCUCUUACUGCUAGGUAUGUCCGUUUUAUGGUUCCAGGCCACCAUGGAGAUGCAAGCAUAAGUGCUGUGAGCAGCUUAAAAGACAGUUAAUUGACACACGCACUUGCUUCCUGCUUCUUCUUUCUUGCUGGCUGGAAUCGGGGCAUCAUGGCUGGCACUCAAGCAUCCAUUUUAGAAAGGAGGCAACAUACUAAAAAGCAAAAGGGAAAGAAUUUGACAACAAUGAGCCUGCCAUAACAGGCCCAAAUAGCCCAACUCUCCAUUUCUUCUAUACGAUAGAGAAAUAAAUGUCUGCCUGGUUUAAUUCG
rnacentral:lncRNA from 10 species